rnacentral:rRNA from 1 species
UAAGGGAUAUUGCGCAAUGGGCGAAAGCCUGACGCAGCGACGCCGCGUGGAGGAAGAAGGCCUUCGGGUUGUAAACUUCUUCGGGCAGGGACGAGGAAGGACGGUACCUGCCAAACAAGUCACGGCUAACUAGGUGCCAGCAGCCGCGGUAAAACGUAGGUGGCAAGCGUUAUCCGGAAUUACUGGGCGUAAAGGGUGUGCAGGCGGGAGUGUAAGUGGUGUAUGAAAUAUCCCAGCUUAACUGGGAGGGGUUAUGCCAGACUGCACUUCUAGAGGACGAGAGAGGGGGGUGGAAUUCCGGGUGUAGUGGUGAAAUGCGUAGAGAUCCGGAGGAACCCCAGAGGCGAAGGCGGCCCCCUGGCUCGUACCUGACGCUCAGCCACGAAAGCAUGGGGAGCGAAC